AACGAACGCUGGCGGCAGGCCUAACACAUGCAAGUCGAGCGCACCUUCAGGUGAGCGGCGGACGGGUUAGUAACGCGUGGGAACGUACCCAGAUCUAAGGAAUAGCCACUGGAAACGGUGAGUAAUACCUUAUACGCCCUUCGGGGGAAAGAUUUAUCGGAUUUGGAUCGGCCCGCGUUAGAUUAGGUAGUUGGUGGGGUAAUGGCCUACCAAGCCUACGAUCUAUAGCUGGUUUUAGAGGAUGAUCAGCAACACUGGGACUGAGACACGGCCCAGACUCCUACGGGAGGCAGCAGUGGGGAAUCUUAGACAAUGGGGGAAACCCUGAUCUAGCCAUGCCGCGUGAGUGAUGAAGGUCUUAGGAUCGUAAAGCUCUUUCGCCAGGGAUGAUAAUGACAGUACCUGGUAAAGAAACCCCGGCUAACUCCGUGCCAGCAGCCGCGGUAAUACGGAGGGGGUUAGCGUUGUUCGGAAUUACUGGGCGUAAAGCGCGCGUAGGCGGAUCGGAAAGUUGGGGGUGAAAUCCCGGGGCUCAACCCCGGAACUGCCUCCAAAACUAUCGGUCUAGAGUUCGAGAGAGGUGAGUGGAACUCCGAGUGUAGAGGUGAAAUUCGUAGAUAUUCGGAAGAACACCAGUAGCGAAGGCGGCUCACUGGCUCGAUACUGACGCUGAGGUGCGAAAGUGUGGGGAGCAAACAGGAUUAGAUACCCUGGUAGUCCACACCGUAAACGAUGAACGCCAGUCGUCGGGCAGUAUACUGUUCGGUGACACACCUAACGGAUUAAGCAUUCCGCCUGGGGAGUACGGUCGCAAGAUUAAAACUCAAAGGAAUUGACGGGGGCCCCGCACAAGCGGUGGA
rnacentral:rRNA from 1 species